CCUUAAGGUAGCCAAAUGCCUCGUCAUUUUGAUUAGUGACGCGCAUGAAUGGAUCAACGAGAUUCCCACUGUCCCUACCCACCCUGCAGCGAACCCACAGCAUCGGGAACGGACGAUGCUAUAGUCAGAGGGGAAAGAAGACCCCUGUUGAGUUUGACUCUACCUUGAUGGAGCCGAAUGUCUUUGGGAGUGUAGAGUAAGUGGGAGAGUAAUCAAUCUUGAAACACCACUAUCUCGAACGAUAUUCGGCUAAGGAAAUUAAAAGGGAGUAAGUAGCAAUACUUACCUUCUAGAUUAUUAGUUUCCCUUAUUUCCUACCCCCCAUCAGGCGGGGAGUUUGGCUGGGGCGGCACGCCUGCUAUACCACAACGCAGGUGUCCUAAGGGGAGCUCCGAUGGAACAGAAAUCCCUCUUCGAACAAAAGGGUAUAAGCUCCCUUUCAUUAACUCGUGCAUUCUCCGAGUUAUUACCGCGAAAGCGUGGCCUAUCGAUCCUUUGAUGAGGAACCUAUCCUCCCAGAGGUGUCAGAAAAAUUACCACAGG
rnacentral:rRNA from 1 species